UACGUAGGGGGCAAGCGUUGUCCGGAUUUAUUGGGCGUAAAGAGCGUGUAGGCGGCUUUACAAGUCCGUUGUGAAAACUCGAGGCUCAACCUCGAGACGCCGGUGGAAACCGUAAAGCUAGAGUCCGGAAGAGGAGAGUGGAAUUCCUGGUGUAGCGGUGAAAUGCGCAGAUAUCAGGAAGAACACCUAUGGCGAAGGCAGCUCUCUGGGACGGUACUGACGCUGAGACGCGAAAGCGUGGGGAGCAAACAGG
rnacentral:rRNA from 1 species